rnacentral:rRNA from 1 species
GACGAACGCUGGCGGCGUGCUUAACACAUGCAAGUCGAGCGGUAAGGCCCUUUCGGGGGUACGACGAGCGGCGAACGGGUGAGUAACACGUGGGUGACCUGCCCUCAGCUCUGGGAUAAAGCCCGGGAAACCGGGUCUAAUACCGGAUAUGACUCCAUGACGCAUGUUGUGGGGUGGAAAGCCUUGUGCGGCUGAGGAUGGGCCCGCGGCCCAUCAGCUUGUUGGUGGGGUGAUGGCCUACCAAGGCGACGACGGGUAGCCGGCCUGAGAGGGCGACCGGCCACACUGGGACUGAGACACGGCCCAGACUCCUACGGGAGGCAGCAGUGGGGAAUCUUGCGCAAUGGGCGAAAGCCUGACGCAGCGACGCCGCGUGAGGGAUGACGGCCUGGUGU